AGAAACAGAUACAGCAAGUAAUGCAAUGGCACUUAACCACUGAAGCAUCAGAGCUCUGGGGAUGGAUUUUGACCUGACCCCUCAAAUGAGGUUUGGAUUUGUUGCAAGGAUACAGGAAUGUCUGGGGGAAGAUAAUGAGAUGACAAUGUAAACAUCCCAAUACUUGUAUUUUAAUUAAAAGCUUGAAAAUGUGUUCAUCUCUAAAGUUCGGGGUAAAAGUUGUAUUAAAUAUCAUAAGUGCUUGAUCCCAGUUUUCACCAUUUUAAAGCCUUUUAAAACUACCUUUAAUUCAUUGCUGCUGGUUUAUUAUCCUGUUUUAGUUCCAGAAGGAUCAUUAGGCUUAUUUUAUUCACUUCUUUUAUCUUCUAAUAUUCAUUCCACUUUCUGUAUCUCCUUCUCCCUUCUUGCUCCUGGAGGCUAGGAUGCUUAGCCAGUAACAAUGUUCCACAAUUACUGUUAAAGCAAUU